GCUUGGGUGGCUCAGUUGGUUAAGCAUCUGACUUCAGCUCAGGACAUGAUCUUGCAUUCCUGGGUUCAAGCCCCACAUCGGGCU
rfam:Felis catus isolate Cinnamon breed Abyssinian chromosome B4, whole genome shotgun sequence.